CCUACGGGGGGCAGCAGUGGGGAAUAUUGGACAAUGGGGGGAACCCUGAUCCAGCCAUGCCGCGUGUGUGAAGAAGGCCCUCGGGUUGUAAAGCACUUUCAGUGAGGAAGAACGCCUGGUGGUUAAUACCCAUCAGGAAAGACAUCACUCACAGAAGAAGCACCGGCUAACUCCGUGCCAGCAGCCGCGGUAAUACGGAGGGUGCGAGCGUUAAUCGGAAUUACUGGUCGUAAAGCGCGUGUAGGUGGCUUGAUAAGCCGGUUGUGAAAGCCACGGGCUCAACCUGGGAACGGCAUCCGGAACUGUCAAGCUAGAGUGCAGGAGAGGAAGGUAGAAUUCCCGGUGUAGCGGUGAAAUGCGUAGAGAUCGGGAGGAAUACCAGUGGCGAAGGCGGCCUUCUGGACUGACACUGACACUGAGGUGCGAAAGCGUGGGUAGCAAACAGGAUUAGAUACCCUUGUAGUC
rnacentral:rRNA from 1 species